rnacentral:rRNA from 1 species
AUUGAACGCUGGCGGCAGGCCUAACACAUGCAAGUCGAACGAGUGGCGGACGGGUGAGUAAUGUCUGGGAAACUGCCUGAUGGAGGGGGAUAACUACUGGAAACGGUAGCUAAUACCGCAUACCAUCGGAUGUGCCCAGAUGGGAUUAGCUAGUAGGUGGGGUAACGGCUCACCUAGGCGACGAUCCCUAGCUGGUCUGAGAGGAUGACCGGCCACACUGGAACUGAGACACGGUCCAGACGGCGACGAGAGGCAGAAGUGGUGAAUAUUGCACAAUGGGCGAAAGCCUGAUGCAGCCAUGCCGCGUGUAAGAAGAAGGCCGUCGGGGUGUAAAGUACUUUCAGCGGGGAGGCGUUACCCGCAGAAGAAGCACCGGCUAACUCCGUGCCAGCAGCCUCGGUAAUUC